rnacentral:rRNA from 1 species
GUAACGGCGAGUGAAGCGGCAAUAGCUCAAAUUUGAAAGCUGGCCUUUGGUCCGCAUUGUAAUUUGUAGAGGAUGCUUUUAGGCAGCCGCCGGUCUAAGUUCCUUGGAACAGGACGUCAUAGAGGGUGAGAAUCCCGUAUGUGACCGGCUCAGGCACCUUCUGUAAAGCUCCUUCGACGAGUCGAGUUGUUUGGGAAUGCAGCUCUAAAUGGGAGGUAAAUUUCUUCUAAAGCUAAAUACUGGCGAGAGACCGAUAGCGCACAAGUAGAGUGAUCGAAAGAUGAAAAGUACUUUGGAAAGAGAGUUAAAAAGCACGUGAAAUUGUUGAAAGGGAAGCGCUUGCAAUCAGACUUGGCCUCGGUUGUUCAACCGGUCUUUUGACCGGCCUAUUCAAUCGGGGGCAGGCCAGCAUCAGUUUCGGCGGCCGGAUAAAGGCCUUGGGAAUGUGGCCUCUCCUUCGGGGGAGGUGUUAUAGCCCAGGGUGUAAUACGGUCAGCUGGGACUGAGGUCCGCGCUUCGGCUAGGAUGCUGGCGUAAUGGUUGUAAGCGGCCCGUCUUGAAACACGGACCAAGGAGUCUAACAUCUAUGCGAGUGUUAGGGUGUCAAACCCUUACGCGUAAUGAAAGUGAACGGAGGUGGGAACCCGCAAGGGUGCACCAUCGACCGAUCCUGAUGUCUUCGGAUGGAUUUGAGUAAGAGCAUAGCUGUUGGGACCCGAAAGAUGGUGAACUAUGCCUGAAUAGGGUGAAGCCAGAGGAAACUCUGGUGGAGGCUCGCAGCGGUUCUGACGUGCAAAUCGAUCGUCAAAUUUGGGUAUAGGGGCGAAAGACUAAUCGAACCAUCUAGUAGCUGGUUCCUGCCGAAG